GACGAACGCCUGGGCGGCGUGCCUAAUACAUGGCAAGUCGAGCGGGGAUUAUGCUUGAUCGCUUCGGUGAGACGGCAUAUAUCCUAGCGGCGGACGGGUGAGUAACGCGUGGGUAAUCUACCUCGUAGUUCGGGAUAACCAGGCCGAAAGGCUUGCUAAUACCGGAUGAGUUCAUGCUUAUGCAUAUAGGCAUGAAGAAAGGGCUAGCCCGCUAUGAGAUGAGCCCGCGUCCCAUUAGCUUGUUGGUGGGGUAAUGGCCUACCAAGGCAACGAUGGGUAGCCGGCCUGAGAGGGUGGACGGCCACACUGGGACUGAGACACGGCCCAGACUCCUACGGGGGGCAGCAGUAGGGAAUCUUCGGCAAUGGGCGGAAGCCUGACCGAGCGACGCCGCGUGAGGGACGAAGGCCUUCGGGUUGUAAACCUCUGUCUGGGGGGACGAGUAAGGACGGUACCCCCGGAGGAAGCCCCGGCUAACUACGUG
rnacentral:rRNA from 1 species